GUGUUAGGUCGGGGCAGGUGCGGGGGUAGUACGUAGGGGGCGAGGGUUAUCCGGAAGUACUGUGCGGAGAGGGGGCGUAGGUUGGUUCUUAAGUCAGAGGUGAAAGGCUACGGCUCAACCGUAGUAAGCCUUGUAAACUGGGAAACGUUGGUGUAGGUGAUGAGAGUGGAAUUCCUAGUGUAGCGGUGAAAUGCGUAGAUAUUAGGAGGAACACCAGUUGCGAAGGCGGCUCUCUGGACUGUAACUGACACUGAGGCACGAAAGCGUGGGGAGCAAACAGGAUUAGAUACCCGAGUAGUC
rnacentral:rRNA from 1 species